rnacentral:misc_RNA from 1 species
GAUGAAGAACGUAGCGAAAUGCGAUAAGUAAUGUGAAUUGCAGAACUCAGUGAAUCAUCGAAUCUUUGAACGCACAUUGCGCCCGCUAGUAUUCUGGCGGGCAUGCCUGUCCGAGCGUCAUUUCAACCCUCAAGCCCCCGGGCUUGGUGUUGGGGAUCGGCGAGCCUCCGCGCCCGCCGUCCCCUAAAUCUAGUGGCGGUCUCGCUGUAGCUUCCUCUGCGUAGUAGCACACCUCGCACUGGGAAACAGCGCGGCCACGCCGUUAAACCCCCAACUUCUGAACGUUUGACCUCGGAUCAGGUAGGAAUACCCGCUGAACUUAAGCAUAUCAAUAAGCGGAGGA